GGAUUGUAGCUCAGUGGUAGAGCAUUUGCCUUGCAAGUGUGAGGCCCUGUAUUCGAUCCCCAGCACCA
rnacentral:tRNA from 1 species